AUUUUCCGCAAUGGGCGAAAGCCUGACGGAGCAAGACCGCGUGGGGGAAGAAGGCUCUUGGGUUGUAAACCCCUUUUCUCUGGGAAGAAAGUUGUGAAAGCAGCCUGACGGUACCAGAGGAAUCAGCAUCGGCUAACUCCGUGCCAGCAGCCGCGGUAAGACGGAGGAUGCAAGCGUUAUCCGGAAUGAUUGGGCGUAAAGCGUCCGCAGGUGGCAGUUCAAGUCUGCUGUCAAAGACCGGGGCUCAACCUCGGAAAGGCAGUGGAAACUGAACAGCUAGAGUAUGGUAGGGGCAAAGGGAAUUCCUGGUGUAGCGGUGAAAUGCGUAGAGAUCAGGAAGAACAUCGGUGGCGAAGGCGCUUUGCUGGACCAUAACUGACACUCAGGGACGAAAGCUAGGGGAGCGAAUGGGAUUAGAUACCCCAGUAGUCCUAGCCGUAAACGAUGGAUACUAGGUGUUGUCUGUAUCGACCCGGACAGUGCCGUAGCUAACGCGUUAAGUAUCCCGCCUGGGGAGUACGCACGCAAGUGUGAAACUCAAAGGAAUUGACGGGGGCCCGCACAAGCGGUGGAGUAUGUGGUUUAAUUCGAUGCAACGCGAAGAACCUUACCAGGACUUGACAUGUCGCGAAUCCUCUGGAAACAGAGGAGUGCCUUAGGGAGCGCGAACACAGGUGGUGCAUGGCUGUCGUCAGCUCGUGUCGUGAGAUGUUGGGUUAAGUCCCGCAACGAGCGCAACCCUCGUGUUUAGUUGCCAUCAUUAAGUUGGGCACUCUAAACAGACUGCCGGUGACAAACCGGAGGAAGGUGGGGAUGACGUCAAGUCAGCAUGCCCCUUACGUCCUGGGCUACACACGUACUACAAUGGUAGGGACAAAGGGCAGCCAACCCGCGAGGGCGAGCUAAUCCCGUAAACCCUGCCUCAGUUCAGAUUGCAGGCUGCAACUCGCCUGCAUGAAGGCGGAAUCGCUAGUAAUCGCAGGUCAGCAUACUGCGGUGAAUCCGUUCCCGGGCCUUGUACACACCGCCCGUCACACCAUGGAAGUUGGCCACGCCCGAAGUCAUUACUCUAACCUUUCGAGGAGGAGGAUGCCGAAGGCAGGGCUGAUGACUGGGGUGAAGUCGUAACAAGGUAGCCGUACCGGAAGGUGUGGCUGGAUCACCUCCUUUUAGGGAGACCAUCUGAGACACUACCGAACCUAAAGAAUAGGUAGUAAUCAGUUAUCCCUGGUCGUUCGAGAAAUAGAUGUCAAAGCUUUCAAACUAUUAACUGGUUCGGGAAAUGGGCUAUUAGCUCAGUUGGUUAGAGCGCACCCCUGAUAAGGGUGAGGUCCCUGGUUCAAAUCCAGGAUGGCCCACCUGGAAACAAAAGUAAUGAAUUUAAAGCAAUGAUUCCUGGAUGAUUAAUCCCAGAGUCAGAGCCGAAAAAUCAGAACUUGCUUAGUGGGGGUAUAGCUCAGUUGGUAGAGCGCCUGCCUUGCACGCAGGAAGUCAGCGGUUCGAGUCCGCUUACCUCCACUCUCACUCGCUACCUAACUACCUAACUAAAACCACAACCAAAAAAGAGAAGAUCAGAGAAAUCAGCACCUAGACUAUCUAAAAGAAAGUCGGAAUGCUGGAGUCUAAGA
rnacentral:sRNA from 1 species